rnacentral:rRNA from 1 species
UCCUACGGGAGGCAGCAGUGGGGAAUAUUGGACAAUGGGGGGAACCCUGAUCCAGCCAUGCCGCGUGUGUGAAGAAGGCCCUCGGGUUGUAAAGCACUUUCAGCGAGGAAGAACGCCUAGCGGUUAAUACCCACUAGGAAAGACAUCACUCGCAGAAGAAGCACCGGCUAACUCCGUGCCAGCAGCCGCGGUAAUACGGAGGGUGCAAGCGUUAAUCGGAAUUACUGGGCGUAAAGCGCGCGUAGGUGGCCUGAUAAGCUGGUUGUGAAAGCCCCGGGCUCAACCUGGGAACGGCAUCCGGAACUGUCAAGCUAGAGUGCAGGAGAGGAAGGUAGAAUUCCCGGUGUAGCGGUGAAAUGCGUAGAGAUCGGGAGGAAUACCAGUGGCCAAAGCGGCCUUCUGGACUGACACUUAAACUGAGGUGCUAGAACGUGGGUAACAAAUAGGAAUCCAUAAACCGCAACUCCACACCAUAUUCU